UACGGAGGGUGCUAGCGUUGUUCGGAAUCACUGGGCGUAAAGGGCGUGUAGGCGGUCUGUUAAGUCAGAUGUGAAAGCCCCGGGCUCAACCUGGGAACUGCAUUUGAAACUGGCGGGCUUGAGUGUGGCAGAGGGGGGUGGAAUUCCGCGUGUAGCAGUGAAAUGCGUAGAGAUGCGGAGGAACACCGAUGGCGAAGGCAGCCCCCUGGGCCAACACUGACGCUCAGGCACGAAAGCGUGGGGAGCAAACAGG
rnacentral:rRNA from 1 species